UGCCACCCCCUUAAGAUGUCAUGAAGGAUGGGAGCCAAGAGCUGUGUGCACCCCAAAAAUGGAAGCUAUUUGGGAGGCAAGAUCAAAACCAGAUUGCACGGGAAGGAGUAUCGUUUCGGAAUCAUUUCUCUCCUGAAAAAUAUUACCUAGCUGCCAUAUGGAUUGCAACUCUAAUCCCACUGAUGUCUCCAGUCCCUGAAAGUUUCAUUUACAGGUGGCUUUUAAUUGUAGUGAAGAGUGUGGACAUCUGUAGCAGCAGUUGGAAACAAGGAGAGCCAGC